UACAGAGGUCUCGAGCGUUGUUCGGAUUCAUUGGGCGUAAAGGGUGCGUAGGUGGCGCUGUAAGUCAGGUGUGAAAUUUCGGAGCUUAACUCCGAAACUGCAUUUGAUACUGCGGUGCUUGAGGACUGGAGAGGAGACUGGAAUUUACGGUGUAGCAGUGAAAUGCGUAGAGAUCGUAAGGAAGACCGGUGGCGAAGGCGGGUCUCUGGACAGUUCCUGACACUGAGGCACGAAGGCCAGGGGAGCAAACGGG
rnacentral:rRNA from 1 species